UCAAGUAGAGGUGGAGAGUGCCAAGUAUGUUACGAAGAUAUAUAAAAAACCCACAUAUGCGCCUGUUUUGAUACCUGCCUGGUCACAGGACCAUAUACAGCACAAACUCGCAAGCUUCAGAUUCUUAUUUACGAGAAUACAUACCCACAUUACGAAAUGGGAGGAUAAGAUGCAAGUGCUGACAUCCAUUUAUACCAUAGGACAGAAAUACGGCUUCAUUCUGAAACAAAUGCAGGCUGUAUGGACUAAAGUAUCAAAGGCUUUACGGAAAAUACCAAUAGAUGGUCCACACCUUCGACAUAAUACCGAUACACGCCCAUACGCGGAUAUUACGUACUAUAAUAUCACGGAUAAAGUCUUGGCUAAAAACAUGAAGGAAGGAAGAUACAGAAUGUCCUGCAAGAGGGGUCCUACCAUAUUUAAUAUAUUACACAAUGAAAAAGAUCCUAUCCAGAGAG
rnacentral:lncRNA from 1 species